CUUUUCACAGUUACUGGAGUGCCAGUCCUGCCAUCAACCACCAAGUUUUCCUUAUAACUUGGACCUGUUUGCAGGUCCAGAUAAUAAUUAACAUCAUACCUAGGACAAAGUGAUUGCAGGUUAAGGGCCUUGCUCAAUGGCCCAAUGGAGAAGAGUCACUUCUGACAUUUUACGUGAUUCAAACCAGCAACCUUCUGAUUGCCCACACAGAUCUCUAGCAUGAUGCCCAACAUAAUGAAGAGUGUGUGAAAAAAAGAAGGACUGUCUGAGUGCUGGACAGCUUUGUUACACCAUUUAAGCUGCACAGACAAAAACAGCAGGAUUUUCCAGGGAUAAAUAUGGCCAUUCCACCCUCCAAAAAAAAAAAAAAGAAGUGAGCAGCGACCCUUUUUUAUGGGCUGCGGGAACAGCAGGGGCCAAAAUCUAUAGAAGGCUUUUUGCACAAUAUGAAGACCAUAAAUGUUUACCAAUGGAUUGUUCAGAAAUGGUCCAACAAGUGUUAAACACAAAGAAGAGGAGGGACAUCUGUCCACAUCCUUUUCCAACAACAACUUUGAGCAAGUCAAUCAUACCAUGAUGCUGAAAAACUGAAGUAAAGAAGAAAAAUAAGAAUUCGCCUACCGUGCUUCCUGGUUCACAAAAUGGCUGCGACAGCACCACACGCAACAUCCAUGACGCAACUUCUGGUUCUUGCACAGUGACGUUACUUCCGGCCAUUUCUGAUGUCAUCACUUCUGGCCAUUUCCGAUGACAUCAUUUCCGUCAUGUCACUUCCUUCCACCAUUUUGUUUGAUUGCAUAUAAAAACUCCAUAAAAACAAAUGUACUUUAUCUUCUGUGAUCAGAUUUUGAUUAUUUUUGACCUCUUUUUACAUCUUUGUCCAUUGGACAAUAUAUGUGGACAUUCCACAACUUUU